UACACGUGCGACACAAACGCAACAUAACGGAGGCGAUAGUACACCUGCUGCUCCGUCUGUGGCUUUCUGUCAGAUUCAAAGUAAUAGAAGAGUCGGAGAAAGCUGAGAGCGGCGAGGCGAAACACUCAGGAGACACACAGGAGAGUUUGGGAGGCGAUGCAGCAGUAUCAAGUCGAAGACAAGAGGAUAUGAACGAGACGACAUAUGAGGAUGCUCUCUGAUGAGACUUCAUGGGAUUUACCUGAAGCAGCAGCACAUGAGCCUGCAGUGGCACAAGGUGUAGAGGAGGAGGGCAGAGAUGUACAGGAUGCACUGAUGCAGGUCGUGUCAUGCAGAGGUUAAAAGUUAUUCUUCUCGUUAGACUUCUGUUUCUCUGUCUCCGGACCACUAUUGUUUUCUUUAAUGCAAUUCUGACAAUAAACUUUUGUACCUUU